GCCGAUGUAGCUCAGGGGUAGAGCAGCUGACUUGUAAUCAGCAGGUCGUCGGUUCGACUCCGACCAUCGGCUCCA
rnacentral:tRNA from 1 species